GAUGAACGCUGGCGGCGUGCCUAAUACAUGCAAGUCGAGCGAACAGACGAGGAUCUUGCUCCUCUGACGUUAGCGGCGGACGGGUGAGUAACACGUGGAUAACCUACCUAUAAGACUGGGAUAACUUCGGGAAACCGGAGCUAAUACCGGAUAAUAUAUUGAACCGCAUGGUUCAAUAGUGAAAGACGGUUUUGCUGUCACUUCUAGAUGGAUCCGCGCCGCAUUAGCUAGUUGGUAAGGUAACGGCUUACCAAGGCAACGAUGGGUAGCCGAGCUGAGAGCGUGAUCGGCCACACUGGAGCUGAGACACGGUCCAGAGUCCUACGGGAGGCAGCAGUAGGGAAUCUUGCGCAAUGGGGGAAAGCUUGACGGAGCAACGCCGCGUGAGUGAUGAAGGUCUUCGGAUCGUAAAACGCUGUUAUUAGGGAAGAACGAAUGUGUAAGUAACUAUGCACGUCUUGACGGUACCUAAUCAGGAAGCAACGGCUAACUACGUG
rnacentral:rRNA from 1 species